rnacentral:rRNA from 1 species
GGGCCCGCACAAGCGGUGGAGCAUGUGGUUUAAUUCGAUGCAACGCGAAGAACCUUACCUGGCCUUGACAUCCUGAGAACUUUCUAGAGAUAGAUUGGUGCCUUCGGGAACUCAGUGACAGGUGCUGCAUGGCUGUCGUCAGCUCGUGUCGUGAGAUGUUGGGUUAAGUCCCGCAACGAGCGCAACCCUCACUUUUAGUUGCCAUCAUUAAGUUGGGCACUCUGAAAGAACUGCCAGUGAUAAGCUGGAGGAAGGUGGGGAUGACGUCAAGUCCUCAUGGCCCUUACGUGUUGGGCUACACACGUGCUACAAUGGCCGGUACAGAGAGCAGCCACUCCGCGAGGAGGAGCGAAUCUAUAAAACCGGUCUCAGUUCGGAUCGCAGUCUGCAACUCGACUGCGUGAAGCUGGAAUCGCUAGUAAUCG